rnacentral:rRNA from 1 species
GAUGAACGCUGGCUACAGGCUUAACACAUGCAAGUCGAGGGGAAACGAUAUUGGAAGCUUGCUUCCGAUAGGCGUCGACCGGCGCACGGGUGAGUAACGCGUAUCCAACCUGCCCAUCACUUGGGGAUAACCUUGCGAAAGUAAGACUAAUACCCAAUGAUAUCUCUAGAAGACAUCUGAAGGAGAUUAAAGAUUUAUCGGUGAUGGAUGGGGAUGCGUCUGAUUAGCUUGUUGGCGGGGUAACGGCCCACCAAGGCGACGGUCAGUAGGGGUUCUGGGAGGAAGGGCCGCCACAUUGGAUCGGAGCCACGGUCCAAACUCCUACGGGAGGCAGCAGUGAGGAAUAUUGGUCAAUGGGCGAGAGCCUGAACCAGCCAAGUAGCGUGCAGGAUGACGGCCCUAUGGGUUGUAAACUGCUUUUAUAAGGGAAUAAAGUGAGUCUCGUGAGACUUUUUGCAUGUACCUUAUGAAUAAGGACCGGCUAAUUCCGUGCCAGCCGCCGCCGUAA